CGGGGUGAGUAAUGUCUGGGAAACUGCCUGAUGGAGGGGGAUAACUGCUGGAAACGGUAGCUAAUACCGCAUAACGUCGCAAGACCAAAGAGGGGGACCUUCGGGCCUCUUGCCAUCGGAUGUGCCCAGAUGGGAUUAGCUAGUAGGUGGGGUAACGGCUCACCUAGGCGACGAUCCCUAGCUGGUCUGAGAGGAUGACCAGCCACACUGGAACUGAGAUACGGUCCAG
rnacentral:rRNA from 1 species